rfam:Picea glauca, whole genome shotgun sequence.
ACAUGCCUACAAUUUAGAGUUAAUGCACCAAAUCCAAUUAGAACUCUGCAGUUAAGUGCACUCAGGCUAGAGUAGUAUUGGGAUGGGUGACCACCCAGGAAGUCCUAGUGUUUUACAUGCC